rnacentral:misc_RNA from 1 species
CAGAGUUGCAAAACUCCCACAAACCAUCGCGAAUCUUACCCGUACGGUUGCCUCGGCGCUGGCGGUCCGGAAGGCCCUCGGGCCCCCGGAUCCUCGGGUCUCCCGCUCGCGGGAGGCUGCCCGCCGGAGUGCCGAAACCAAACUCUUGAUAAUUUAUGUCUCUCUGAGUAAACUUUUAAAUAAGUCA